rnacentral:snRNA from 1 species
AUACUUACCUGACGCGAGAGGCACCUUGAUCAACUAGGAGGUCCUCUCAGGAUGAGGCCCUUUCAUUGCACUUCGACUGGGUUGACUCCUGCGAUUACCCCUAAUGUGGGUAACUCGAGCGCAUAAUUUCUGGUAGUGGGGACCUGCGUUCGCGCUCGUCCCCU